AACGAACGCUGGCGGCGCGUUUUAAGCAUGCAAGUCGAACGGCAAGUUGGGUAGCAAUACCUGACCUAGAGUGGCGAACGGGUGAGUACGACGUAGGUGAUCUACCCCUGGGUGGGGGAUAGUCCGUGGAAACACGGGGUAAUACCGCAUGAGGCCUUGUGGGUGAAGCCAUGAGGUGAAAGGUGCAAUUGCACCGUCUGGGGAUGAGCCUGCGGCCCAUUAGGCAGUUGGCGGGGUAACGGCCCACCAAACCGACGAUGGGUAGCCGGCCUGAGAGGGUGUACGGCCACACUGGAACUGAGACACGGUCCAGACUCCUACGGGAGGCAG
rnacentral:rRNA from 1 species